UUGGGAGAGUACAUCGGGGAGCCAGCAAUGGCACCCUGACGGCUCAAACUCUUACAAACUUGGUCAUUUAGAGGAAGUAAAAGUCGUAACAAGGUAUCUGUAGGUGAACCUGCAGAUGGAUCAUUU
rnacentral:rRNA from 1 species